rnacentral:lncRNA from 1 species
AGACUGGUUAUGGCAGCAGUGUAGGUUGUACUUGAUAUGAGAAAGAUGUCAAGAAGUGACAACUCUCCCUUUAUUCACACGUUGGCAGACUGAUUGAGAUCUCUCAAAGGACAGUGAAAUCUAUCCACAGUAGAACCAGGUGGGUCAGUAGAAUGGACAGCGAACAGGGCCAAGAGUGUAAGAAGACAGUG